rnacentral:rRNA from 1 species
CCUACGGGAGGCAGCAGUAGGGAAUCUUCCACAAUGGGCGAAAGCCUGAUGGAGCAACGCCGCGUGGGUGAAGAAGGUCUUCGGAUCGUAAAACCCUGUUGUUAGAGAAGAAAGUGCGUGAGAGUAACUGUUCACGUUUCGACGGUAUCUACCCAGAAAGCCCCGGCUAACUACGUGCCAGCAGCCGCGGUAAUACGUAGGUGGCAAGCGUUAUCCGGAUUUAUUGGGCGUAAAGGGCACGCAGGCGGUCUUUUAAGUCAGAUGUGAAAGCCUUGGGCUUAACCGGAGGAGUGCAUUGGAAACUGGGAGACUUGAGUGCAGAAGAGGAGAGUGGAACUCCAUGUGUAGCGGUGAAAUGCGUAGAUAUAUGGAAGAACACCAGUGGCGAAAGCGGCUCUCUGGGCUGUAACUGACGCUGAGGUUCGAAAGCGUGGGUAGCAAACAGGAUUAGAUACCCCAGUAGUC